rnacentral:lncRNA from 1 species
UAUGAAUUAGCAAUUUUAAUUCAAACAGUAACUUUUCGACAUGAAAAAAAAUUGUUAAAUUAAAACUUCAUACCUAAACAAUUGAAAUCCAUUGUUGGAUUCCUUGAAGAAGACAAGAGAUAGAAAUGAAAAAAGAGAAGAGAAGGGCAGUAGAUUAAAGAAAGAAAAAUAGGGCGGAGGAAAAAAUACACACAAAGAGAGAGACAAAAAAAGAGAGACGGGGGAGAGAAAGAGAGAAAUUGAUAGGGUAUCAAUUAUUACCUAUUUAACUGUCUAUAAUUAAGGGAUAAUCAUUUAUAAUUAAUANNN